GUUAGUUGGCGGGGUAACGGCCCACCAAGACCACGAUGACUAGGGGAUCUGAGAGGAUGGCCCCCCACACUGGUACUGAGACACGGACCAGACUCCUACGGGAGGCAGCAGUAAGGAAUAUUGGUCAAUGGAGGCAACUCUGAACCAGCCAUGCCGCGUGCAGGAAGACAGCCCUCUGGGUCGUAAACUGCUUUUAUUCGGGAAUAAACCUCAUUACGUGUAAUGAGCUGAAUGUACCGAAGGAAUAAGGAUCGGCUAACUCCGUGCCAGCAGCCGCGGUAAUACGGAGGAUCCAAGCGUUAUCCGGAUUUAUUGGGUUUAAAGGGUGCGUAGGCGGCUUUUUAAGUCAGGGGUGAAAGACGGUAGCUCAACUAUCGCAGUGCCCUUGAUACUGAAGAGCUUGAAUGGACUAGAGGUAGGCGGAAUGUGACAAGUAGCGGUGAAAUGCAUAGAUAUGUCACAGAACACCGAUUGCGAAGGCAGCUUACUAUGGUUUAAUUGACGCUGAGGCACGAAAGCGUGGGGAUCAAACAGGAUUAGAUACCCUGGUAGUCCACGCCCUAAACGAUGAAUACUCGCUGUUAGCGAUACACAGUUAGCGGCUAAGCGAAAGCGUUAAGUAUUCCACCUGGGGAGUACGGUCGCAAGAUUGAAACUCAAAGGAAUUGACGGGGGCCCGCACAAGCGGAGGAGCAUGUGGUUUAAUUCGAUGGUACGCGAGGAACCUUACCCGGGCUUGAAAGUUAGUGAAUGGAUUAGAGAUAGUCCAGUCCGCAAGGACACGAAACUAGGUGCUGCAUGGCUGUCGUCAGCUCGUGCCGUGAGGUGUUGGGUUAAGUCCCGCAACGAGCGCAACCCCUAUGUUUAGUUGCCAGCACGUUAUGGUGGGGACUCUAAACAGACUGCCUGUGCAAACAGAGAGGAAGGAGGGGACGACGUCAAGUCAUCAUGGCCCUUACGUCCGGGGCUACACACGUGCUACAAUGGAUGGUACAGAGGGCAGCAAGCUGGCAACAGCAAGCCAAUCUCCAAAAGCCAUUCACAGUUCGGAUAGAGGUCUGCAACUCGACCUCUUGAAGUUGGAUUCGCUAGUAAUCGCAUAUCUGCAAUGAUGCGGUGAAUACGUUCCCGGGCCUUGUACACACCGCCCGUCAAGCCAUGGAAGUUGGGGGUACCUAAAGUAUGUAACCGCAAGGAGCGUCCUAGGGUAAAACCGAUAACUGGGGCUAAGUCGUAACAAGGUA
rnacentral:rRNA from 1 species